rnacentral:rRNA from 1 species
AUGAACGCUGGCGGCGUGCCUAAUACAUGCAAGUCGAGCGUACAGACGAGGAGCUUGCUCCUCUGACGUUAGCGGCGGACGGGUGAGUAACACGUGGAUAACCUACCUAUAAGACUGGGAUAACUUCGGGAAACCGGAGCUAAUACCGGAUAAUAUAUUGAACCGCAUGGUUCAAUAGUGAAAGACGGUUUUGCUGUCACUUAUAGAUGGAUCCGCGCCGCAUUAGCUAGUUGGUAAGGUAACGGCUUACCAAGGCAACGAUGCGUAGCCGACCUGAGAGGGUGAUCGGCCACACUGGAACUGAGACACGGUCCAGACUCCUACGGGAGGCAGCAGUAGGGAAUCUUCCGCAAUGGGCGAAAGCCUGACGGAGCAACGCCGCGUGAGUGAUGAAGGUCUUCGGAUCGUAAAACUCUGUUAUUAGGGAAGAACAAAUGUGUAAGUAACUAUGCACGUCUUGACGGUACCUAAUCAGAAAGCCACGGCUAACUACGUG